rnacentral:lncRNA from 1 species
ACAUAUUAUACAUUAUCGAAGUUAUUGUUGGAAAAAACCACAAUAAAAAAUCCGAUUGUGAUUAAAAUCCAACUUAUUUUGUGAUAAAAUUAAUAUACAUUAUUAGCAACUCAACCUUUGAAAAAUCCAUAUUAGAAAAAAAGAUAAUUACCUCUAUACAACUUAAAAUUUCUAAAAUAUUUUAUUUAUUCUUCCUUUUUUUUAUUUCGAAUAUGUCCCUUAUAUAUCUUUUUCAUCAUUUAAAAAUACUUUUGCUGUUAAGUCAUUUCGGAUUAAAUUUGAGUUAAAUUUCAACCAUAGUUAAAAUAUAGUAAAAUAAAUACAUAUUUUGCCUUUAGCUUCAUGACAAAUAAGAAAAGUUUGUGACAGAACAAAAAUAUAUUUGAAAAUACAAGAAGUCAAAAUAUUUUUUUUGUCCUGACUUUAAGGGCAUGUUUGGUUCGCUUCUUUUUCACCCUGAAAUCGGAAUCGAAACGGGCGAAUCAGUUUGUGGGUGUUUGGUACGCGGGAGUUUUAUUUCGAUUCUGAUUCCCAAGUAGAGUGGGAAUCCUCCAAUCACCUCUUUGAAUCUAGAUGGAAUGAAUAUUUAUUCGGAUUAAAUUUAUUUUUUCAACUUUUUUUAAUUAAAAUAUGAGUUUAAGUUUAGAAAUUAAAUUUAUAAUUUUAAAUUUUUAAUUUGAACUUGAAUUAAAAAUUAAAAUUUAAUCAAGUAUAUUUUCGAAUCUAACUUAUGAAUUUGAAUUUAAAUUAAAUUCUAAUUUAUAUAAAAUUUUAUUCGAAUUUUAUUUAAAACUUAAAUUAAAUUUAUUAAUUCAAAUUAAUAUUUAAUUUUAAUUUUAAGUUUGAAUUUGAAUAAAUUGAAAUUUAGUAUUAUAUUUUGAAUUAUUCACUCAACUUCAAAGUUUAAUUUUUUUUUAAAAAAAAUAGAUUUAAAAUUUUGACAUAAAUUUUUAAUAUUUAAUUCUCAAUUUGAAUUUAAGUUAAUAUAUUAUAAACAUAAAGUUAGUAUAUUAAUCUGAUUACGUUUUUUUAUAUCUAUCUAAACCAAACACCGACAAUAGAAAUGAUUUAUUUCGAUUUUGAUUCCAGUGAUGAACCAAACAGAACUAAGUAAUGAGUCAUUCUGAUUCUGAUUCCAGGUUAUUUCGAUUCCGAUUCCGAUUCUGAUUUCGAUUUCAACUUUGAACCAAAUACGCCCUAAAGGUAAAUAAGAUAAACUGAUGACGGCAAAAUAAUAUAUUUGAAAGGACAAAAGAAUAAUUUUACAAAAAUAACAAACCAUUCCCAACCAUUCACUAUAAGGGUGCGUUUGGUUCGCGCUAUCUUUUUAAGAUUCCUAGUAAUCCAAUAGGAAUAAAAAAAUAUAACGAUGUUUGGCUAAACGUACUAAAUAAUCUAGUUGGUAAUAUUAGAUUUACUUGGGAAUGAGAUUUAUUCCAAAGCACUAAUCUCAUUCCCUUGAGGGAGGGUGGGUAUCCUCAUAUUAAUGGAUUGGGAUAAUCACAAUAUGUCUAAUCUCUUUCUUUCUCCCUACUCGCCGACUAGUUGGUAUUAUUUUGUUUUACACUCUAACCUCAUAUCUCUCUCUAAACUUCAACUCUUUUUCUCUCUAUAAACUAAGCUCUCUCUUCUCUCUUUUUCUAAAAUCUCAACCCUCUCACUUCCUCUAAUUUCGAAUCUAUUUCUCUUCCUAUUUCUUUAAUUAUGCUCUCUCUCUAAUCUAUGUUCUCUCUCACUUUUUUUAAAAAAAAUGUUGAUUUUUUUGUAGCAUUAUCUAAAAUUAAAUAAAUAAAUUUAUUUAUUUAUUUAAUAUUUUUUGUAAUCUUAAAUAAUAUGGCUAAAUAAUAUGACCGUGCGAACUAAACACAGGAAUGCCACAGGAAUGCCACAUUCUUAGUAAUAGGAUGAAUAAGAAUAAGAUUCUCGGACAUCUUUUUACUUCUAAUAAUCUUUCAUAGUGUGAACCAAAUGCACCAUAACAGUAUUUAACUCUCAAAAUAUAUUUAAAAAAAAUUUAGAAUUAAAAAAAAAAAUUUUAAUACCAGCCUUCUAAAAAAAAAAAAGAUAGGGAAGUCUAAUUUUUCAAAGAUAUAUAAGCAAUUAGUAAUUGCCCUAGUAAGUAAGCGAGAUACUCACUCCCACCAGCCGUGCAUCCACAGGCAACGCCAUCCAGCCGGCACUACGUGCGGGCCAGGCAGUCGUGACCACCGUCUGCCACUCGCCCCUAACGUGGUGGCGGGGCCCACAGGGGCCCGCCUGACCUGCUGGGCGAAGGCGAGAUCGAGAUAUAUAUAUAUAUAUAUAUAGAGUGGGGCUACUAUGCUAUCGGAAGCACCGAGCAUUCCGUGCUUCCAGCUCGUUUUCGAUGUUGCGAUUUUCGAAUCGUCGAUCGGCUCCGUUAAACUUGAUCUAGAGUAUUUGAAGUACCUAGAAAAUAAAUUUUAUAAUUUUACGAUAUCAUUUGCCUAGUGAACGAAGGGGCUCAAAAUCAACGGCUGAAAAUAAAAAUCUUACAAAAUGUAAUAAUAUGACAUUAAAAUUUUAAAUCAAAGAUAUUGAUCUUGUUUUAUAUAGUAUAAAGAAUUUUCUAUC